rnacentral:rRNA from 1 species
UACGUAGGGUGCGAGCGUUUGCCGGAUUUAUUGGGGUUUAAAGGGUGCGUAGGCGGCCUAUUAAGUCAGGGGUGAAAGACGGUAGCUUAACUAUCGCAGUGCCUUUGAUACUGAUGGGCUUGAAUGUAGUUGAGGUAGGCGGAAUGUGACAAGUAGCGGUGAAAUGCAUAGAUAUGUCACAGAACACCAAUUGCGAAGGCAGCUUACUAAAGUAUGAUUGACGCUGAGGCACGAAAGCGUGGGGAUCAAACAGG